UGUUUUUCUAAAUUUUGUAUAUUGUUAUCAAGAAAUGAGAAGAUUGAUAGUGUUAUUAGUGUUCUUUUUUGCUAAAUUUUGUAUAUUGUUAUCAAGAAAUGAGAAGAUUGAUAGUGUAUUUAGUGUUCUUGUUUUGCUAAAUUUUGUAUAUUGUUAUCAAGAAAUGAGAAGAUUGAUAGUGUUAUUAGUGUUCUUGUUUUGCUAAAUUUUGUAUAUUGUUAUCAAGAAAUGAGAAGAUUGAUAGUGUUAUUAGUGUUCUUGUUUUGCUAAAUUUUAUAUUGAUACAAGAAAUGAGAAGAUUGAUAGUGUUAUUAGUGUUCUUGUUGCUAAAUUUUGUAUAUUGUUCAAGAAAUGAGAAGAUUGAUAGUGUUAUUAGUGUUUUGUUUUGCUAAAUUUUGUAUAUGUUAUCAAGAAAUGAGAUAUGAGUGUAUUAGUGUUCUUGUUUUGCUAAAUUUGUAUAUUGUUAUCAGAAAAUGAGAAGUUGAUAGUGUUAUUAGUGUUCUGUUUUGCUUAUUUUGUAUAUUGUUAUCAAGAAAUGAGAAGAUUGAUAGUGUUUAUUAGUGUUUCUUGUUAUCAAGAAACGUUUGACCGCUGACCCUUUAGCAAAAUCUCUCAAAAAUGAAAGGCAUUGCCAUGGGGAAUUCUCCAUGGCUUCUAUUCAGUAAAAUAAGGAUAUGGAAGAUUGUUAUUAGUGUUCUUGUUUUGCAAAAUUUUGUAUAUUGUUAUCAAGAAAUGAGAAGAUUGAUAGUGUUAUUAGUGUUCUUGUUUUGCUAAAUUUUGUAUAUUGUUAUCAAGAAAUGAGAAGAUUGAGAGUGGUAUUAGUGUUCUUGUUUUGCUAAAUUUUGUAUAUUGUUAUCAAGAAAUUAGAAGUUUGAUAGUGUUAUUAGUGUUCUUGUUUUGCUAAAUUUUGUAUAAUUUUAUCAAGAAAUGAGAAGAUUGAUAGUGUUAUUAGUGUUCUUGUUUUGCUAAAUUCUAUAUAUUGUUAUCAAGAAAUGAGAAGAUUGAUAGGGUUAUUAGUAUUCAUGUUUUGCUAAAUAUUGUAUAUUGUUAUCAAGAAAUGAGUAGAUUGAUAGUGUUAUUAGUGUUCUUGUUUUGCUAAAUUUUGUAUAUUGUUAUCAAGAAAUUAGAAGAUUGAUAGUGUUAUUAGUGUUCUUGUUUUGCUAAAUUUUGUAUAUUGUUAUCAAGAAAUGUGAGAAGAUUGAUAGUGUUAUUAGUGUUUCUUGUUUUUGCUAAAUUUUGUAUAUUUUAUCAAGAAAUGAGAAGAUUGAUAGUGUUAUUAGUGUUCUUGUUUUGCUAAAUUUGUAUAUUGUUUCAAGAAAUGAGAAGAUUGAUAGUGUUUAUUAGUGUUCUGUUUGCUAAAUUUUGUAUAUGUUAUCAAGAAAUGAGAAGAUUGAUAGUGUUAUUAGUGUUCUUGUUUUGCUAAAUUUUGUAUAUUGUUAUCAAGAAUGAGAAGAUGUGUGUGUUUUAUUAGUUCUUGUUUUGCUAAUUUUGUAUUGUUCAAGAAAUGGAGAAGAUGAUAGGUGUUUAUUGUGCUUCUUUUGCUAAAUUGUAUAUUGUUUCAAAAAAUGAGAAGAUGAUAGUGUUUUAUGUGUUCUUUUUUUGCUAAAUUUUGUAUAUUGUUAUCAAGAAAUGAGAAGAUUGAUAGUGUAUUAGUGUUCUUGUUUUGCUAAAUUUGUAUAUUGUUAUCAAGAAAUGGAGAAGAUUGAUAGUGUUAUUGUAGUGUUCUUGUUUUGCUAAAUUUUGUAUAUUGUUAUAAGAAAUGAGAGAGUUGAUAGUGUUAUUAGUGUUCUUUGGUUUGCUAAAUUUUGUAUAUUUGUUAUCAAGAAAUGAGAAGUAUGAGAUAGUGUUAGUUAGUGUUCUUGUUUUGCUGAAUUUUUGUAUAUUGUUAUCAAGAAAUGAGAAGAUUGAUAGUGUUAUUAGUGGUUUUCGUUUUGCUAAAUUUUGUAUAUUGUUUCAAGAAUGAGAAGAUUGAUAUGUUAUUAGUGUUCUUGUUUGCUAAAUUUGUAUAUUGUUAUCAAGAAUGAGAAGAUUGAAUAGUGUUAUUAGUGUUCUUGUUUUGCUAAAUUUUGUAUAUUGUUUAUCAAGAAAUGAGAAGUGAUAGUGUUUAUUAGUGUUCUUGUUUUGCUAAAUUUUGUAUAUUUUAUCAAGAAUGAGAAGAUUGAUAGUGUUAUUAGUGUUCUUGUUUUGCUAAAUUUUGUAUAUUGUUAUCAAGAAUAGAAGAUUGAUAGUGUUAUUAGUGUUCUUGUUUUGCUAAAUUUUGUAUAUUGUGUCAAAGAAAUGAGAAGAUUGAUAGUGUUAUUAGUGUUCUUUGUUUGCUAAAAUUUGUAUAUUGUUAUCAAGAAAUGAGAAGAUUGAUAGUGUUAUUAGUGUUCUUGUUUUGCUAAAUUUGUAUAUUGUUUAUCAAGAAAUGAGAAGAUUGAUAGUGUUAUUAGUGUUCUUGUUUUGCUAAAUUUUGUAUAUUGUUAUCUAAGAAAUGAAGAAGAUUGAUAGUGUUAUUAGUGUUCUUGUUUUGCUAAAUUUUGUAUAUUGUUAUCAAGAAUAAUGAAGUACGAUAGUGUUAUUAGUGUUCUUGUUUUGCUAAAUUUUGUAUUAUUGUUAUCAAGAAAUGAGAGAUUGAUAGCUGUAUUAGUGUUCUUGUUUUGCUAAAUUUUGUAUAUUGUUAUCAAGAAAUGAGAAGAUUGAUAGUGUUAUUAGUGUUCUUGUUUUUUUGCUAAAUUCUAUAUAUUGUUAUCAAGAAAUGAGAAGAUUGAUAGGGUUAUUAGUAUUCAUGUUUUGCUAAAUUUUGUAUAUUGUUAUCAAGAAAUGAGAAGAUUGAUAGGGUUAUUAUUGUUCUCGUUUUGCUAAAUUUUGUAUAUUCUUAUCAAGAAAUAAGAAGAUUGAUAGUGUUGUUAGUGUUCUUGUUUUGCUAAAUUUUGUAUAUUGUUAUCAAGAAAUGAGAAGCUUGAUAGUGUUAUUAGUCGUCUUGUUUUUCUAAAUUUUGUAUAUUAUUAUCAAGAAAUGAGAAGGUUGAUAGUGUUAUUAGUGUUCUUGUUUUGCUAAAUAUUGUAUAUUGUUAUCAAGAAAUGAGAAGAUUGAUAGUCUUAUUAGUGUUCUUGUUUUGCUAAAUUAUGUAUACUGUUAUCAAGAAAUGAGAAGAUUGAUAUUGUUAUUAGUGUUCUUGUUUUGCUAAAUUUUGUAUAUUGUUAUCAAGAAAUGAGAAGAUUGAUAGUGUUAUUAGUGUUCUUGUUUUGCUAAAUUUUGUAUAUUGUUAUCAAGAAAUGAGAAGAUUGAUAGUGUUAUUUGUGUUCUUGUUUUGCUAAAUUUUGUAUAUUGUUAUCAAGAAAUGAGAAGAUUAAUAGUGUUAUUAGUGUUCUUGUUUUGCUAAAUUUUAUAUAUUGUUAUCAAGAAAUAGGAAGGUUGAUAGUGUUAAUAGUUUUCUUGUUUUGCUUAAUUUUGUAUAUUGUUGUCAAGAAAUGAGAAGAUGAUAGUGUUAUUAGUGUUCUUGUUAUCAAGAAACGUUUGAAGCUGACCCUUUAGCAAAAUCUCUCAAAAAUGAAAGGCAUUGCCAUGGGGAAUUCUCGAUGGCUUCUAUUCAGUCAAAUAAGGAUAUGGAAGAUCACAACCAAGUCGAUGUAAGUCAUGACGUGAGUUAUUUCUUUGCUUCUUUUUUCUUAGCAUACUACUCUGUAUAUUAUUAUCAAGAAAUGAGAAGAUUGAUAGUGUUAUUAGUGUUCUUGUUUUGCUAAAUUUUGUAUAUUGUUAUCAAGAAAUGAGAAGAUUGAUAUUGUUAUUAGUGUUCUUGUUUUGCUAUAUUUUGUAUAUUGUUAUAAAGAAAUGAGAAGAUUGAUAGUGUUAUUAGUGUUCUUGUUUUGCUAAAUUUUGUAUAUUGUUAUCAAGAAAUGAGAAGAUUGGUAGUGUUAUUAGUGUUCUUGUUUUGCUAAAUUNNNNNNNNNNNNNNNNNNNUGCAAGAGGAAAUUUCUUUCUCUUGAAAAAUGCAAGGCUUGCCAUGUACUGUGCGAAUCCCAUAGAGCUUCCUCCUAGUUUUCAGUCCAGAAACUCUUAAGUUGGGAUAUGGAAGAUCACAACCAAGUCGAUGUAACUCAUACGCACUGUCGUUGAUUAUGAUGGAUUCAAAGGCCACACCACUGCUUUCUAAUCCGUACGUCAACAUCUUUGAGGACGUCUAUUACGUGAGUUAUUCUUUGCUUCCCCUUUUUCUUAGCAUACUUAUCUAUAUAUUUUUUAUCAAAGGAUAAUAGUAAGAUUGAUAGUGUUAUAGUGUCGAUUGUUUUGCCUAAUUGUUGCGUAUAUGUAUCCAUACUCCAAAGAGAAGAUUGUAAUAUUAGUUAGUGUUCGUGUCUUUUGCUAAAAUUUUAUUUAUCAAGAAACGAGAGAGGAUUGAUAGUGCUGAUUUUAGUAGUUUCUUGUUUACGUAAAAUUGUAGACUUAUUUCAAGAAAUGAGAAAGAUUGAUAAAUGUUAUUAGUUUUGCUUGUUUUGCUUAAAUUUGCUGAUGUUAUCAAGAAAUAUAGAUGAUAGUGUUAUUAGUGUGCUUGUUUUUCUAAAUUUGUAUAUUUAUUCAAGAAAUGAGAAGGUUGAUAAGUAUUUAAGUUUCUUGUGUUGCUAAAUUUUUAUAUUGUUUUUAGCAAAGGAAAUUGAGAAGGUUGAUAGUGUUAUUAGUAUUCUUGUUUUGCUACAAUUUUGUUAUUGUUACUCAAGAAAUGAGAAGAUGAUAGUGUUAUUUAGUGAUUCUUGGGGUUUACAAAGGAAACGUUGACGUCUGACCUAUGCUCUCAUUAAAAUUCUCUGGGAAAAAUGAACAGCAUUGCCUAGAGAAGUUUCCAUGCUGCUCUUCAGUCAAAUAAGGGAUAUGGAAGAUUCACAACCAAGCGAGUAUAGCCAUGAGCGCUACUAAUUUCGUUGGAAAUUAUGAUGGCUUCAGAACGCCACACGCUGUCUUCCUUUUUAUCCGUGACGCACAUCUUUAGGACCUUCUAUUCGGGGAGUUAGUGUCUUUGCUUUCUUUUUUCUUAGGCUAUACUUUAUCUGUAGGUAUUGUUCAUUCCAAUAUUAAGCUAGAUUUUGAGAUAGUGUGGUUUAGUGUUCUUGUUUUGCUAAAUUAUAUAUUGUUAUCAAGUAAAUGAGAGAGUGGAUAAGUGUUAUUGGUGGUUUCUUGUUUUGCUAAAUGUGUGGUAUAUUGUAUCAAGAAAUGUAGAAGAUUUGAAGUGUUAUUUGUGUUCUUGUUGUGACUAAAUCUACUAAACAAUUUGUCUUAUUGUUAUCAAGAAGAUGAGAAGAUUGAUAGUGUUAUUAAUGUUGUGAGUUGCUAAAUUUGGCUUUUGUUACUCAAGAAAUCGAGAAAGAUUGAUAGUCGUUAUUAGUGUUCUUGUUGCUAAAUUUUGUAUAUUUUACCCAAAGAAAUGAUGAAGAUUGAUAGUUGUUAUUAGUGGUUCUUGUUUUGCUAAAUUGGUAUAUUGUUAUCAGAAAUCGAAGAAGGAUUUAUAGUGUUAUUAGUGUUCUUGUUUUGCGUUAAAUUGUAUAUUAUUAUCAAGAAAUGAGAAGGUUGAUAGUCGGGUAGUUAGUGUCUCUCUCGUUUUGCUAAAUUUUGUUAUGUUAUCAAGGAAAUGAGAAGAUUGAUAGUGUUAUUAGUGUUCUUUUAUUAUUUCAAGAAACGUUUCGAAGCUGACCCUUGAUAGCGAAAUCUCUCAAAAGAAAGCAUGCACAUAAAGGACGAAAUUCUCCAAUUGGCUUUGCUAGUCAUCAAAAAGGAAUGGAAGACACAACCAAAGUGGCUAUGUAAGUCAUGACGCACUGUUCGUUUGAAUUUAGUGUAUGGCUUCACAAGGCCACACCCCGAACGCUUCCUGAUAUUGCGGUACGGCCACAUCUUUAGGACUCUAUUACGUCGAGUUAUUUCUUUGCUUCUUUGGUUUCUUAGCAGACUAACUACUGAUCUAUUGUUAUCAAGAAAUGAGAAAAAGAUAUGAUAGUGUUAGUAGUGUCAAUGUGUUUCGCUAAAUUUUGUAUAUUGUUAUCAGAAAUGAGAAGGAGUUUCUAGUGUUCAUCUAAGCUGUUCUUGUUUUUUCUGUAAUUAGUUAUAUUGUGUAUCAAGAAAUGAGACGAUUGAUUAGUUGAUUACCGUGUUCUUAUUAUUGCCUAAAUUUUGUAUAUUGUUUCAAGAACAUAGAAGAUUGAUAAUUUAUAGUGUUUUCUCUGUUUGCUAAUUUGUAUACGUAUAUUCAAUGAAUAGGAAGGAUUGAUAGUGUUAUUAGUGUUCUUGUUUGCUAAACUUUCGUGUAUAUUGUAUAUCCAAGCAAAUGAGAAUGAUUAUAGUUGUUAUUAGUGUUCUUGUUUUGCGCUAAAUUUGUAUAUGUUAUCAAGAAAUGAGAAGAUUGAUAUGUGUUAUUAUGUUGUUCUUGUUUUGCUAAAUUACUGUAUAUUGUAUCAAAAAAUGAGAAGAUUUGAUAGCUAGUUAUUGUGUUCUUUCUCGUGUUUUGCUAAAUUUGUAUAUAUGUUAUCAAGAAAUAGGAAGUUGAUAGUGUUAUUAGCUGUUCUUGGUUUUUAUAAAUUAUUGUAUAUUUAUGUAAGAAAUGAGAAGAUUGAUAUGUUAUUAGUGUUCUUGUCUUUUUUGCUAAAUUUGAUAUUGUAUCAAGAAAUGGAGAACUGAUUGAUAGUGUUUAGUGUUUAGUCAUUGUUUUGCUAAUAUGUAUACUUUGUAUCAAGAAAUGAGAGAUUGAUAGUUGAUAGGUGUUCUUGUUUUAGCUAAUAUUGUAUAUUGUUAUCAAGAAAUGAGAAGCAUUGAUAGUGUUAUUAGUGUUCUUGCUUUUGCCUAAAUUGUAUAUUGUUAUCAAGAAAUGAGAAGAUGGAUGAUAGUGUUAUUAGUGUUCUAUUUUUUGCUAAAUUUUCGCUAUAUUGAUUAUCAAGAAAUGAGAAGAUUGAUAGUGAUUUAGUGUUCUUCUUUUGCUAAAUUUUGUUAUAUUGUUUAUUAUCAAAAAGUGAGAAGAGUGAUAGAUUAGUUGUCGUUCUUGUUUUGCUUAAUUGGUAUAUUGUUAUCAAGAAAUAGAGAAGAUUGAUUAGUGUUAUUAGUGGUUUCUUGUUUUGCUAAAUUUGUAUAUUGUGUAUCAAGAAAUUGAGAGAUUGAUAGUGUAUUAGUGUUCUGUUUUGCUAAAUUUGCGUAUAUUGUUAGCAAGAAGUGAGCAAGGAUUUACUAGUGUUAUUAGGUUUCUUGUUAUUGCUAAAUUUUUGUAUAAUUAUUAAUCAAGAGAAUCGAGAAGGUUGAUAGUGGAUUAGUGCUUUCUUUUUUGCCUUAAAUUUUGUAUAUGCUUAUCUUAAUGAGAAUGAGAAGAUUGAGUGUGAUAAGUGAUUUCUAUGUUUUGCUAAUAUUUCCGUAAUAUUUUUAUCAAGAAAUGUAGAAGAUUUGAUAGUUGUAUAGAUGCCUUCUGUGUGUGCUCUAAAUUUGUAUAUUGUUACAAGAGAGAGAACAAGAUUGAUAGUGUUAUGGUGGGGUAGUGUUCUUGUUUGCUAUAAUUUGGCUAUAUUGUUAUCAAGAAAUAGAAAUUUAGAGGUAUUAGUGUUCUCGUUUUUGCAAAUUUUGUAUAUUAUUAUCAGAAUGAGAAGGUUGAUAGUGUUAUUAGUGUUCGUGUUUUGCUAAAUUUUGUUAUUGUUAUCAAGAAAUGAGAGAAUUGAUAGUGUUAUUAGUGUGCUAUAUCAAGAAACGUUUGACGACUGACCCUUUAGCAAAAAUCUGCUCAAAAAGUUGAAAGGCCCAUUGAUAGGGAAUUCUCCAGUGGCAUUCUAUCACCCCAAAUCAAGGAUAUGAAGCAUCAAAGCAGAACCAAGUCUUAUGUAAGCUAUGACGCACUGUUCGUUUGAAAUUUAUUGAUGGUCUUCAAAGGCCACACAGACUGCUUCCUAUAUUCGUAGCACAUCUUUAGGACACCUCCUAUACGUGGAGUUAUUUUCUUUGUUCUUUUUUCUCCUUUAGCAUACUAAUAUGUAACGGUUAGCAAAGAAUAGAGAAAGAAUUGAUAGUGUUAUUAGUGUUCUUUCUGCCCUAAUUGUAAUGUGUUAGUCAGAAAUGAGAAGAUUGUAGUGUUAUAGUUGUUCUCUCUUGCUAAAUUGGUAUAUUUUAUCAGAAAUGAGAAGAUUUAUAGUGUAUCUCCUGCUCUUGUUGUGCUAAUUCUCGUAUAUUAUUAUCAUAGUAAAUGAGGAAGCGUUGAUAGUGUAUUAGUCGUUCUUGUUAUGGCAUAAAAUAUUUAUUCUCUUGUAUAUUGUAGUUCAAGAAAAUGAGAGAUUGAGUGGUUAAUAAUUGUUCUUGUUAUUGCUAAAUUUGGAUAUUGUUUCAAGAAAUGAGAAGAUUGAUAGUCGUUAUUAGUGUUCUUGUUUUGCUAAAUUUUGUAUAUUGUUUACCCAGAAGAGAGAGCAUGUUGAUAGUGUUAUUAGUGUGCCUUUGCUAUUGUAUAUUGGUAUCAAGAAAUGAGAAGAUUGUUAUAGUGUUAUUAGUGUUUCGUUUUUGCUAAAUUUGUAUGAUUAUUUAUCAAGAAAUGAGAGGUUAUGUAGUUUAUUAGAUGUUCUUGUUUUGCAAAUUUGUAUAUUGUAUCAAGAACAUGAGAAGGAUGGGAUAGUGUUAUUUAAGUGUUCUGAUUAUCAAGAAAACGUUUGACGCUUGACCCUUAGCAAAAUCCUCAAAAUAUGAAAGGCAUUUGGCCAGUCGGAAUCUCAUGGCUUCUAUUCAGUCAAAUAAGGAAUAUGGAAGAUUCAGCACACCUAAGUCUUGUCCAAGUCAUGAACGCACUGUGUCGUGUUGAAGUGAGGAGAUGGCUUCAGAAGCGCCACACACUGCUUCCUAUGAUUCGUACGCACAUCUGUGGACUCUAUUGGUACGUGAGUUAUUUCUUUGCUUCUUUUUUCUAGCAUACUAAUAUGUAUAUGUUUAUCAAGAAUGAGAAGAUGAUCAGUUGUUAUUAGUGUUCUUGUUUGCUAAAUUUUUGUAUAUUAGGUUAUCAAGAAAUGAGAAAGAUGAUAUGUAAAGAUGUUCUUGCUUUGCUAAGUUUUGUAUUUUUAUCAAGAAUGAAGACGAUUGAUAGUUGUGAUUAGUGUUCUUAUUUUGCCUCAACAUUUCGCUCCUCCUUGUUAACAGAAAAGGAUGAUUGAUGAGAUGUUAGAGUGUUCCUUGUUUUGCCUAAAUUUUGUAUAUCGUAUCAAUAAAUGAGGAAGAUUGAUAGUGUUUUAUUAGUGUUCUUGUUUGUGUAAAUUUUGUAUAUUGAUAUCAAAGAAAAUGGAGAAGAUGAUAGUGGUUAUUAGUUUCUUGUUUUGCCCUUAAUUUUGUAUAUUGUUAUCAAGAAAAUGAGAAGAAUUGAUAGUGUUAUUUGUGUUCUUGUUUUGCUAAAUUUUUAGUAUAUUGUUAUCAAAAAAUCAGAAGAUGAUAGUCGUUAUUAUGUUCUUGUUUGCUAAAUUUUGUAUAUUGUUAUCAAAGAAAAUAGAAGGUUGAUAUUAUUAGUUUUCUGUUUUGUUUAAUUUUGUAUAUUGUUUAUCAAGAAAUGAGAAGAUAAGAUUGAUAGUGUUAUUUGUGUUCUUGUUUUGCUAAAUUUUGUAUAUUGUUAUCAAGAAAUGAGAAGAUUAAUGGUGUUAUUAGUGUUCUUGUUUUGCUAAAUUUUAUAUAUUGUUAUCAAGAAAUAGGAAGUUUGAAAGUGUUAAUAGUUUUCUUGUUUUGCUAAAUAUUGUAUAUUGUUAUCAAGAAAUGAGAAGAUUGAUAGUGUUAUUAGUGUUCUUGUUUUGCUAAAUUAUGUAUAUUGUUAUCAAGAAAUGAGAAUAUUGAUAUUGUUAUUAGUGUUCUUGUUUUGAUAUAUUUUGUAUAUUGUUAUAAAGAAAUGAGAAGAUUGAUAGUGUUAUUAGUGUUCUUGUUUUGCUAAAUUUGGUAUAUUGUUAUCAAGAAAUGAGAAGAUUGGUAGUGUUAUUAGUGUUCUUGUUUUGCUAAAUUUUGUUUAUUGUUAUCAAAAAAUGAGAAGAUUGAUAGUGUUAUUAGUGUUCUUGUUUUGCUAAUAUUUGUAUAUUGUUGUCAAGAAAUUAGAAGAUUGAUAGUGUUAUUAGUGUUCUUGUUUUGCUAAAUUUUGUAUAUUGUUAUCAAGAAAUGAGAAGAUUGAUAGUGUUAUUAGUGUUCUUGUUUUUCUAAAUNNNNNNNNNNNNNNNNNNNNNNNNNNNNNNNNNNNNNNNNNNNNNNNNNNNNNNNNNNNNNNNNNNNNNNNNNNNNNNNNNNNNNNNNNNNNNNNNNNNNNNNNNNNNNNNNNNNNNNNNNNNNNNNNNNNNNNNNNNNNNNNNNNNNNNNNNNNNNNNNNNNNNNNNNNNNNNNNNNNNNNNNNNNNNNNNNNNNNNNNNNNNNNNNNNNNNNNNNNNNNNNNNNNNNNNNNNNNNNNNNNNNNNNNNNNNNNNNNNNNNNNNNNNNNNNNNNNNNNNNNNNNNNNNNNNNNNNNNNNNNNNNNNNNNNNNNNNNNNNNNNNNNNNNNNNNNNNNNNNNNNNNNNNNNNNNNNNNNNNNNNNNNNNNNNNNNNNNNNNNNNNNNNNNNNNNNNNNNNNNNNNNNNNNNNNNNNNNNNNNNNNNNNNNNNNNNNNNNNNNNNNNNNNNNNNNNNNNNNNNNNNNNNNNNNNNNNNNNNNNNNNNNNNNNNNNNNNNNNNNNNNNNNNNNNNNNNNNNNNNNNNNNNNNNNNNNNNNNNNNNNNNNNNNNNNNNNNNNNNNNNNNNNNNNNNNNNNNNNNNNNNNNNNNNNNNUGUUCUUGAGAUUUACCUGUAUAUUGUUAAUGAAGAAAUGAAGAAGAUUGAUUUAGUGUUAUUAGUGUCUUGUUUUGCUAAAUUUUGUAUAUUGUUAUCAAGAAUGAGAAGAUUGAUAGUGUUUAUUAGUGGUUCUUGUUUUGCUAAAUUUUGUAUAUUGUUAUCAAGAAAUGAGAAGAUUGAUAGUGUUUAUUAGUGUUCUUGUUUUGCUAAAUUUUGUAAUUUUGUUAUCAAGAAAAUGAGAAAGGUAGAUGUUAUUAAGUGUCUUGUUUUGGCUAAUUUUGUAUAUUGUUAUCUAAGAAAUGAGAAGAUUGAUAGUGUUAUUAGUGUUCUUGUUUUGCUAAAUUUGUAUAUUGUUAUCAAAGAAAUGAGAAAGAUUGAAUAGUGUUAUUAGUGUUCUUGUUUUGGCUAAUUUUGUAUAUUUGUUAUCAAGAAAUAGAAGAUUGAUAGUGUUAUUAGUGUUCUUUUUGCUAAAUUUUGUAUAUUGUUAUCAAGAAAUGAGAAGAUUGAUAGUGUUAUUAGUGUUCUUGUUUGCUAAAUUUUGUAUAUUGUUAUCAAGAAAUGAGAAAGAUUGAUAGUGUUAUUAGUGUUCUUGUUUUGCUAAAUUUUGUAUAUUGUUAUCAAGAAAUGAGAAGAUUGAUAUGUGUUAUUAGUGUUCUUGUUUUGCUAAAUUUUUGUAUAUUGUUAUCAAGAAAUAGAGAAGAUUGAUAGUGUUAUUAGUGUUCUGUUUUGCUAAAUUUUGUAUAUUGUUAUCAAGAAAUGAGAAGAUUGAUAGUGUUAUUAGUGUUCUUGUUUUGCUAAAUUUUGUAUAUUGUUAUCAAGAAAUUGAGAAAGAUUGAUAGUGUUAUUAGUGUUCUUGUUUUGCUAAUUUUUUGUAUAAAUUGUUAUCAGAGAAAUGAGAAGAUUGAAGUGUUACUAUAGUGUUCUUGUUAUCAAAACAUUAACAGCUGACAAUCCCUUUACCAAAUCUCCCAAAUGAAAGGCAUUGCGCAUGGGAAUUCUCCAUAGCUCUGUUAGUGCAGAAUAUGGGAUAAUGUGGUAUAGAUACACAAACUAGGACGGAUGUAGCCAUGACGCACUGUAUCGUUCGGGAAUUUAUGAUGGCUCUCAAAGGCCACACCGCCGCUGGCUUCCUAUAUCCCGUACGCACAUCUUAGGACGCGGGUAUUACGUGAUUUAUUUUUUUGCUCUUUAACCACUUACCUGUAUACUUGUUAUGAGAAAUGAAAGGAUUUAUAGUGUUAUUAGUGGUUCUGUAAAUUGCGCUAAAUUUGUAAUAAUGUCUAAAGAAAAUGAGAAGAAUCUGAUAGUUUAUUAGUGUUCUUGUUUGCUAAAUUUGGUAUAUGUGUCAGAAAUAAGGAAGAUUGAUAUGUUGUAGUGUUCUGUUUUGCUAAAUUGUAUAGUUAUCACAGAAAUGAGAAAGAUUGAUACUUAUUAUUUCUUUUUUGCCAAAUUGUAUAUUAUAAAAUGAGAAAUGAUGGUAUAUUAUUGUGUUGUUGUUUUGCUAAAUUUUGUACUAUCUAGUUAUCAUGAAAUUAGAGAUUAUAUAGGUCGUUGGAAUUGUAAUUUCUGUCUAUGUUAAUCUUUUGCUAAAUUGUAUAUUGUUAUCAAGAAAUGAAAAUGAUUUUAUUUUUUGUGUUCUAAUUUGGUUAUGGCUGAAAUAAGUGAUAUUAUUGUGUUGUCAAAAAUGAUAUCUGACAAUAAAUGAUAGAUUAAAUGUCUGUGUUUUGCUAAAUUUGUAUACAUGUUAUCCUAAAAAUGAGAACAUGGAUAAGUGUUACAUAGUGUUCUUACGUUUGUUGGAAAUUUGUAUAUUGUUAUCAGAAUGGAAGAAUUGAAUAGUGUUAUUAGUGUUCUUGUUUUGCCUAAUUUUUGUAUAUUUUACAAGAAAUGAGAAAUGAUAGUGUAUUAGUGUUCUUGUGGUUUGCUAAUUUGUCAUAAUGUUAAUCCAGAAAGAGAAAUCUGAUCAUGUAUAUAGUUCUUGUUUGGCUACAAAUUUGUUAUUAUUAUCAAGAAAAGAAUAGUUAUAGUUUCUUUGUUUUGCUAAAUUUGUAAUAUUUUGUCAAGAAAAUAAAAUUGAUAGUUAUUAGUGCUUGUUGCAAACUUUAUAAUUGUUAUCAAGAAUGCAAAAGAUCGGAUAGCUGUUAUAGUUUCUUGUGUUUGCUAAUAUUUGUAUAUUCUUUACAGGAAAUAGAAGAUAGAUAUGGUUAUAGUUCUUGUUUGCUAAAUUGUGCUAUAUGAUUAUCAAGAAAUGAAAAAAACUUGGAUAGUGUUAUAUAUGUUUCUGUUUUUGCUAAAUUUAAGUUAUUGUUACCAAGAAGAGAAGAUUUGAUAGUGUUAUUAGUCGUUCUGUUUUGCUAUUUGUAUGAUGGUUUGCAAGAAAUAGCAAGAUUGGAUAGUGUUAUAGUGUCUUCGUUUGCUAAAUUAGUCAUAUUGUUCAAAGAAAUGAGAAAUUGAAGUAUGUCGGUUCAAAUGUAUUUAUAAGAGAUGUUGUACCUGCUUUUGCUAAAUUGUUGUAUAAUUGUAUCAAUGAAAAAAGAUGAAAUGUUGAUUAGUGUCUCUUGUUUUGCUAAAUAUUGUAUAUUGUUAUCAAGAAAGAAGAGAUUGAUAUGUUGUUAGGUUCUUAGUUUUGCUAAUUUUGUUAUCAUGUUUAUAAAGAAAUGAGAAGAUUGAUAGUUUAUUAAGUGUUCUUGUUCGUAAAUUUGUAAUUUAUUUCAAGAAAUGAGAAAGUGAUAGUGUUAUUAGUGUUCUGUUUGCCUAAAUUUUGUAUAUUGUUAUCAAGUAAAAAUGAGAAGAUUGAUAUUAAUUAGUUUAUUGUUUGCUAAAUUUGUAUAUUGUUAUCAAGAAAUCAGAAGAUGAUUAGUGUUAUUAGUGAUCUUUGUUUCCCUAAAUUUUGUAAUAUCUUAUCAAGAAAUGAGAAAUGAAUGUUUAUAGUGUCUUGUUUGCUAAAUUUUAUAUAUUUUAUCAAGAAAUAGAAGAUGAAGUGUUAAUUAGUGUUCUUGUUUUGCUAAAUUUUGAUUAUAUUUGUCAAGAAAUGAGAAGAUUGAUAAAUGUUAUUAGUGUUCUUGUUUGCUAAAAUUUUGUAUAUUGUUAUCAAGAAAUGAGAAGAUGAUAGUGUAUAUAGUGUUUCUUUUGUUUUGCUAAAUUUUGUAUAUGUAUACAAAAAUUAGAAGAUCGAUAGUGUUAUUAGUGUUCCUUGUUUUGCUAAAUUUUGUAUAUUGUUAUCUCAAAGAAAUGAGAAGAUUGAUAGUGUUAUUAGUGUUCUUGUUUUGCUAAAUUUUGUAUAUUGUUAUCAAGAAAUGAAGAAGAUUGAUAGUGUUAUUAGUGUUCUUGUUUUGCUAAAUUUUGUAUAUUGUUAUCAAGAAAUGAGAAGAUUGAUAUGUUAUUAGUGUUUGUUUUUGCUAAAUUUGUAUAUUGUUAUCAAGAAAUAGAAGAUUGAUAGUGUUAUUAGUGUUCUUGUUUGCUAAAUUUUGUAUAUUGUUAUCAAGAAAUGAAGAGAUUGAUAGUGUUAUUAGUGUUCUUGUUUUGCUAAAAUUUUGUAUAUUGUUAUCAAGAAAUGAGAAGAUUGAUAGUGUUAUUAGUGUUCUUGUUUUGCUAAUUUUGUAUAUUGUUAUCAAAGAAAUGAGAAGAUUGAUAUGUUUUAGUGUCUUCGUUUUGCUAAAUUUUUGUAUAUUGUAUCAAAGAAAUGAGAAGAUUGAUAGUGUUAUUAGUGUUCUUGUUUGCUAAAUUUUGUAUAUUGUUAUCAAGAAAUGAGAAGAUGAUAGUGUUAUUAGUGUUUCUUGUUUUGCUAAAUUUUUGUAUAUUUUUAUCAAGAAAUGAGAGAUUGAUAGUGUUAUUAGUGUUUGUUUUGCUAAUUUGUAUAUUGUUAUCAGAAAUGAGAAGAUUGAUAGUGUUAUUUAGUGUUCUUGUUUUCCUAAAUUUUGUAUAUUUUAUCAAGAAAUGAGAAGAUUGAUAGUGUUAUUAGUGUUCUUGUUUGCUAAAUUUUAUAUUGUUAUCAAGAAAUGAGAAGAUUGAUAGUGUUAUUAGUGUUCUUGUUUUGCUAAAUUUUGUAUAUUGUUUUCAAGAAAUGAGAAGAUUGAUAGUGUUAUUAGUGUUCUUGUUUUGCUAAAUUUUGUAUUAUUGUUAUCAAGAAAAUGAGAGAUGAUAUGUAUUAGUGUUCUUGUUUUGCUAAAUUUGUAUAUUGUUAUCAAAGAAAUGAGAAGAUUGGAUAGUGUUAUUAGUGUUCUUGUUUUGCUAAAUUUUGUAUAUUGUUUCAAGAAAUGAGAAGAUUGAUAGUGUUAUUAGUGUUCUUGUUUUGCUAAAUUUUGUAUAUUGUUAUCAAAGAAAUGAGAAGAUUGAUAGUGUUAUAGUGUUCUUGUUUUGCUAAAUUUUGUAUAUUGUUAUCAAGAAAUGAGAAGAUUGAUAGUGUUAUUAGUGCUUGUUUUGCCUAAAUUUUGUAUAUUGUUAUCAAGAAAUGAGAAGAUUGAUAGUGUUAUUAGUGUUCUUGUUUUGCUAAAUUUUGUAUAUUGUUAUCAGAAAUGAGAAGAUUUGAUAGUGUUAUUAGUGUUCUUGUUUUGCUAAAUUUUAUAUUGUUAUCAAGAAAUGAGAAGAUUGAUAGUGUUAUUAGUGUUCUUGUUUUGCUAAAUUUGUAUAUUGUUAUCAAGAAAUGAGAAGAUUGAUAGUGUUAUUAGUGUUCUUGUUUUGCUAAAUUUUGUAUAUUGUUAUCAAGAAUGAGAAGAUUGAUAGUGUUAUUAGUGUUCUGUUUUGCUAAAUUUUGUAUAUUGUUAUCAAAGAAAUGAGAAGAUUGAUAGUGUUAUUAGUGUUCUUGUUUUGCUAAAAUUUAGUAUAUUGUGUAUCAAUAAGAAUGAGAAGAUUGAUAGUGUUAUGAUGUUCUUGUUUGCUAAAUUUUGUAUAUUGUUAUAGAAAUGAGAAGAUUGAUAGUGUAUUAGUGUUCUUGUUUUGCUAAAUUUUGUAUAUUGUUAUCAAGAAAUGAGAAGGUUGAUAGUGUUAUUAGUGUUCUUGUUUUUGCUAAUUUUGUAUAUUGUUAAUGCAAGAAAUGAGAAGAUUGAUAGUGUUAUUAGUGUUCUUUUGUCUUGAAUAUUUUUAUUUGUUACAAGAAAUUGAGAGAUUGAUAGUGUUUAUUUUGUGUUUCUUGUAUCAAGAAACGUUGGACGCUGACCCUUUAGCAAAUCUCUCAAAAAUGAAAGCUUUGCUAAUUUUGUAUAUUGUUAUCAAGAAAUGAGAAGAUUGAUAGUGUUUUUAGUGUUCUUGUUUUGCUAAAUUUUGUAUAUUGUUAUCAAGAAAUAAGGAGAUUGAUAAUGUUGUUAGUGUUCUUAUUUUGCUAAAUUUUGUAUAUUGUUAUCAAGAAAUGAGAAGAUUGAUAGUGUUAUUAGUGUUCUUGUGUUGCUAAAUUUGUAUAUUGUUAUCAAGAAAUGAGAAGAUUGAUAGUGUUAUUAGUGUUGUUGUUUUGCUAAAUUUUGUAUAUUGUUAUCUAGAAAAUAGAAGAUUGAUAGUGUUAUUACUGUUCUUGUUUUGCUAAUUUUGUAUAUUGUUAUCAAGAAAUGAGAAGAUUGAUAGUGUUAUUAGUGUUCUUGUUUCGCUAAAUUUUGUAUAUUGUUGACCAGAAAUGAGAAGAUUGAUAGUGUUAUUAGUGUUCUUGUUUUGCUAAAUUUUGUAUAUUGUUAUCAAAAAAUGAGAAGAUUGAUAGUGUUACUAGUGUGCUUGUUUUGCUAAAUUUUGUAUAUUGUUAUCAAGAAAUGAGAAGAUUGAUAGUGUUAUUAGUGUUCUUGUUUUACUAAAUUUUGUAUAUUGUUAUCAAGAAAUGAGAAGAUUGAUAGUGUUAUUUAUCACGAAUAUGAGACGGAUUGAUAGUGUUAUUAGUGUUCUUGUUUUGCUAAUUUUGUAUAUUGUUAUAAGAAAUGAGAAGAUUGAUAGUGUAUUAUGUGUUCUUGUUUGGCUAAUUUGUAUAUUGUUAUCAAGAAAUGAAGCGAUUGUAGUGUUAUUAGUGUUCUUGUUUUGCUAAUUUUGUAUAUUUUCAAGAAAUGAGAGAUAUGAUUGAUAUUUUAGGUUAGUGUUUGCUAAGAUUGGUCUAGAGUAUAAUGGAAUUGAUAUUAGUUCUGUUCUUGUUUGCUAAAUUUGUAUAUUGUUAUCAAGAAAUGAGAGAUUGAUAGUGUUAUUAGUGUUCUUGUUUUGCUAAAUUUUGUAUAUUGUUAUCAAGAAAUGAGAAGAUUGAUAGUGUUAUUAGUGUUUGUGUUUGCUAAAUUUUGUAUAUUGUUAUCAAAAAUGAGAAGAUUGAUAGUGUUCUUGUUUUGCUAAAUUUUGUAUAUGUUAUCAAGAAAUGAGAAGAUUGAAGUGUUAUUAGUGUUCUUGUUUUGCUAAAUUUUGUAUAUUGUUAUCAAGAAAUGAGAAGAUUGAUAGUGUUAUUAGUGUUGUUUUUGCUAAAUUUUGUAUAUUGUUAUAAGAAAUGAGAAGAUUGAUAGUUGUUAUAGUGUUCUUGUUUGCUAAAUUUUGUAUUAGUUAUCAAGAAAUGAGAAGAUUGAUAGUGUAUUAGUGUCUUGUUUUGCUAAAUUUGUAUAUUGUUAACAAAUGAGAAGAU
rnacentral:lncRNA from 1 species